CUUACUAUAGGAAGGGGGUAGUGAUGAGGAAGAAGGCUGCUCCAUGUAGAAACUGCUAGUUAGAGAGGCAAGCUAGUUGAAGAGAAAACAGCCACCGAACAGGCUGCUUCCAGAGCUGCCCCAGCUGACAGCCAAGCAACAUGCCCUAGGAAGACAGAGUGGGCUGGAGAAAGCUGCUCAAAUUCCUGCCAGAUGACUAACUGGGGAGAAUGCUCCACUCUGCUACGAAGUGGAUGCAGGUCUGGGGUCCAAUACAGCCAGGUACUGUCAGCUGCCAGGGACCUCAGGAUUAGUGAAUGGUGCUCAGCAUCUCACAGGAGGCAAGAAUGUAGAGCUGGGCUUCUGACAGACUUACCAUUUCCAGGUUGCCCAUGGAGGACACAGGAGCUGGAGUGGAAUCAUUCUCAGCCCUUUGUUGAAAGGAUGAAGGAGAGGGAAUCUCUGAGAACAGCUUUUCUCCCAAAUCUUUCUUAAGCGUUUGAUCCCAACAGGUGUUAAUGAAAACAGACCAAAGUCCAGUUUUAAACAGCCUUAUAUAAAAAUCUGUUCCCUUCUU